CCCUGGUAAUGUUGAGGUUCUAACUCUGUCCCGUGAUCCGGGACGAGGACCGUGUCUGGUGGGUAGUUUGACUGGGGCGGUCUCCUCCUAAAGAGUAACGGAGGAGUACGAAGGUGCGCUCAGCGUGGUCGGAAAUCACGCGUAGAGUAUAAAGGCAAAAGCGCGCUUAACUGCGAGACCCACAAGUCGAGCAGGUACGAAAGUAGGUCUUAGUGAUCCGGUGGUUCUGUAUGGAAGGGCCAUCGCUCAACGGAUAAAAGGUACUCUGGGGAUAACAGGCUGAUACCGCCCAAGAGUUCAUAUCGACGGCGGUGUUUGGCACCUCGAUGUCGGCUCAUCUCAUCCUGGGGCUGAAGCAGGUCCCAAGGGGAUGGCUGUUCGCCAUUUAAAGAGGUACGCGAGCUGGGUUUAGAACGUCGU
rnacentral:rRNA from 1 species